rnacentral:rRNA from 1 species
AGACCCGAAACCCGGUGAUCUAGCCAUGGGCAGGUUGAAGGUUGGGUAACACUAACUGGAGGACCGAACCGACUAAUGUUGAAAAAUUAGCGGAUGACCUGUGGCUGGGGGUGAAAGGCCAAUCAAACCGGGAGAUAGCUGGUUCUCCCCGAAAGCUAUUUAGGUAGCGCCUCGUGAAUUCAUCUCCGGGGGUAGAGCACUGUUUCGGCUAGGGGGCCAUCCCGGCUUACCAACCCGAUGCAAACUGCGAAUACCGGAGAAUGUUAUCACGGGAGACACACGGCGGGUGCUAACGUCCGUCGUGAAGAGGGAAACAACCCAGACCGCCAGCUAAGGUCCCAAAGUCAUGGUUAAGUGGGAAACGAUGUGGGAAGGCCCAGACAGCCAGGAUGUUGGCUUAGAAGCAGCCAUCAUUUAAAGAAAGCGUAAUAGCUCACUGGUCGAGUCGGCCUGCGCGGAAGAUGUAACGGGGCUAAACCAUGCACCGAAGCUGCGGCAGCGAACGUAUCACCCAAGACAACUUUA